AAACGACUCUCGGCAACGGAUAUCUCGGCUCUCGCAUCGAUGAAGAACGUAGCGAAAUGCNAUACUUGGUGUGAAUUGCAGAAUCCCGUGAACCAUCGAGUCUUUGAACGCAAGUUGCGCCCCAAGCCUUUUGGCCGAGGGCACGUCUGCCUGGGUGUCACA
rnacentral:rRNA from 1 species